rnacentral:rRNA from 1 species
GCUUGACUGUAGCUUGUAAUUGGGUUCGGGCUUUUUUUGCGCAGCCUAGGUGGGAGGCAGUUGAAAAUUUUCUUCUGGGAAAUUAGGAGCCGUUCAGUGAGAGACCACUCUGAAAGAGCUAGAAUCCUAAUAAUGAUCCUUGAAUCAGGACACUUGACAGUUUCAGGUGGGCAGUUUGACUGGGGCGGUCAUCUCCUAAAAGGUAACGGAGAUGUGCAAAGGUUCCCUCAGGCUGGACGGAAAUCAGCCGAAGAGUGUAAAGGCAGAAGGGAGCUUGACUGCAAGACCUACAAGUCGAGCAGGGGCGAAAGCCGGCCUUAGUGAUCCGACGGUACCGAGUGGAAGGGCCGUCGCUCAACGGAUAAAAGUUA